rnacentral:antisense_RNA from 2 species
GUCUAUGGCGGCUGUACGCGGGAGGCUUCGUGCCUGCCGGGGUUUGAGAUCUCCCUCCCGGUUUACCACCCCGCGUGCAGCUGCCACCUAU